rnacentral:rRNA from 1 species
AACGAACGCUGGCGGCAGGCUUAACACAUGCAAGUCGAGCGAGACCUUCGGGUCUAGCGGCGGACGGGUGAGUCACGCGUGGGAACGUGCCCUUCUCUACGGAAUAGUCCCGGGAAACUGGGAGUAAUACCGUAUACGCCCUUUGGGGGAAAGAUUUAUCGGAGAAGGGUCGGCCCGUGUUGGAUUAGGUAGUUGGGGGGGUAAUGGCCCACCGAGGCGACGAUCCGUAGCGGGGUUGAGAGGAUGAUAAGCCACACUGGGACUGAGACACGGCACAGACUCCUACGGGAGGCCGCAGUGGGGACUCUUGCAGAAUGGGCGCGAGCCUGAUCCUGCCCUACCGCGUGGGUGAAGAUGGCCUUCGGGUUGUAGAGCCAUGUUGUUGGGAAAGAAAAGCAGCAGGUUAAUCCCGCGCUGUAAUGACGGUACCCAAAGAAUAAGCACCGGCUAACUUCGUG